GCCAGGAAUCACACAGGGAGGGGAAAAGGAAAAUAAAUAAAGCUGGAUAAAUAGGAGCCCGGCUUCAACACGGCCAGCUUUUACCGAGAACACUGGAUCACCUCCCCCCCCCCCCACUCACUCCCUCCCUCUUCAAUUCACGUCGUUCUGUUCGAACGGGCUAAUACCAUAUUAUUUUUAAAAAGAUCAGCUCACCAGGAAAAAUCAAUGCCUCGAGCGGACGAAGGAGAGAUGAAGAUUCUGGAAUGAAGAUUGGAAACUUACAAAUGUCACCCCACUAUUUCAGAAGAAAUGAGGCAGAGAGAAAAAAAGGAACCACAACCUUGCGUCAAUAGAUGAUAAAGUAUUUGUGUGGAAAACUGGAGCACCAAUACUGUGAUCAAAUGACAGAACCUAGUUUAUAAGAGAGACAUAAAUAACAGCCGACUAGGAACUGAUAAUCUGAAGCAGAGACCAUAGAAGGAAAAUGCGUGGAUCCUGUUUGAAAACUGAUAUUUAAAGAGCAUGGGCCAUCAUUCUUCUCCUGAUUUGCUAGCAGUAAGCCACUGGGAAUUCACUGCCAGAAACGCAUGGUCUUCGUUGUCUUUAGUGAACCAAAUGAAACCCACCAGCCCUUCAAGGUUUCCAGAUAUCAUCUCAAAAACUGUCUGUGUGACUUUUGAACUUUUUAUAUAAUCUACAUACGUGCUACCUCAUUUAUAAUCAUUUUUACUUACGUCUUAUGUGUUAAUGGGUGCU